UACGUAGGGUGCAAGCGUUGUCCGGAAUUACUGGGCGUAAAGGGCGCGUAGGCGGUUCGUUAAGUUGGAUGUGAAAACUCUGGGCUCAACCCAGAGCCUGCAUCCAAAACUGGCGGGCUAGAGUUCUGGAGGGGGUAGCGGAAUUCCUGGUGUAGCGGUGAAAUGCGUAGAUAUCAGGAGGAACACCGGUGGCGAAGGCGGGUCUCUGGGCCGAUACUGACGCUGAGGAGCGAAAGCGUGGGGAGCGAACAGG
rnacentral:rRNA from 1 species